rnacentral:rRNA from 1 species
CCCUUAGAUGUUCUGGGCCGCACGCGCGCUACACUGACGAAUGCAACGAGCUUAUAACCUUGGCCGAAAGGUCUGGGUAAUCUCCAAAUUUCGUCGUGAUGGGGAUAGAUUAUUGCAAUUAUUAAUCUUCAACGAGGAAUGCCUAGUAAGCGCAAGUCAUCAGCUUGCGUUGAUUACGUCCCUGCCCUUUGUACACACCGCCCGUUGCUCCUACCGAUUGAAUGGUCCGGUGAAGCGUUCGGACCGUGGCCUUUGGACGGUUCGCCGUCUGUUGGCUGCGGGAAGUUCGUUAAACCUUAUCAUUUAGAGGAAGGAGAANUCGUANCA